UUAUUUCACUUAAACUGGAGUAUUAGUUGUUUUCUGAGAACACUAUGAUUUUCUUAACAUUCUAAAAAUGAGUUAGUGAAAACGGUAAAAUUUCACAACUAUUUGGCAAAUGUUCCAGGGUAAUUUGAUAGUAAGACAGUUGAAUGAAAAUCAGCUAUUCUCGUCUCAAAAAAAAAGAAUCCGACCAAUUCUUAUGCAAAUUCUUACAUCACUAUCAUUGUUAGCACCUGGGAAAGAAGCAGGCCUCACCUAUUUUAAAAGCUGCCUCCAAUUUAAGACUUCAUUUGCGAUUGGAAAUAUUCAGCCAAAUUUCUUUUCUCAUACUCUCCCUGACUCUAGAUCUCUUUUUAGUAAGCCUUCUAGACUUCUGAUUCAAGUUGUCACAAAUAUAGAUUACUGAGACUAAUUCUUUUUAUAAUCAAGCACUGGAACACAAAAAAAUUGAGUACAAAUCAGAAUGUACGUGUUAGACCCGGAACAGACUUCAGAGAUGAUCUCAUCUUCUGAAUGGAGUAACAAGAUCCUGGGAGAAAAGUAGCCAUCCUUGUGGAAAUGAGGCUCUUCAGCCGCUUUUAUGGUCACAAGAUCCACAAAGACCUUGUUCCCAGGAGCAUAUGGGAUUUAUCUCUUGUUACCCAAAGUGUGGUCCAUGGACCAGCAGCGUGGACACCGCCUGGGUGUGUUAGGAUGCAGAACCUCAGCCUCCACCCCAGCCCUUUAGAGUCAGACCGCAUUUUGACAAGAUACCAGGUGAGUCUGAGAAGCACUGUUCUGCCUGCAAUGGAGCUCUGCGGAAGGUCAGAGACUCAGAAGCACGGGAACCUCACUUGGGUUCUGCACUUUAUAAAAUGAAUCAUUGUUGCACAAAGCAUGCUGGAGUUUUUCUCUCAUUGAUAGAUGUUUGGUACAUGCAUUCUCUCCCAAAGAAACAAACUUAGAAGGUGUAACCAGAUAAAAGUACACACUGUGCCCAACUCUGCACAUUACUACGUAAAAGAUAAGAAGAAAAACACAAAACAGAAUAGUGGAUUUUCUUUUAUAAACUCCACAUCACCAUCUGACCUCUUGUUUUAGGAAUUAUACAAUACUGAAAGCAUUUCUGAUUCAUUCUAUAAGUUCUAUUAUAAUUAAAUUUGGGGCAAGAGAGUCCGGGAAGGCAACGACAUCGGGUAACCCUUUAGAGUUGUACUCCCAUGUUCUGCUUGACAAUGAGUACAUGGUACUCUUCUCUAUG